rnacentral:rRNA from 1 species
UACAGAGGGGGCGAGCGUUGUUCGGAAUUACUGGGCGUAAAGGGCGCGCAGGCGGCUUAUCAAGUCAGGCGUGAAAGCCCCGGGCUUAACCUGGGAAUUGCGCUUGGGACUGAUGGGCUUGAGUUCGGGAGAGGAGAGUGGAAUUCCCAGUGUAGAGGUGAAAUUCGUAGAUAUUGGGAAGAACACCGGUGGCGAAGGCGGCUCUCUGGACCGAUACUGACGCUGAGGCGCGAAAGCGUGGGGAGCAAACAGG